rnacentral:rRNA from 1 species
UACGGGGGGGGUAAGCGUUGUUCGGAAUUACUGGGCGUAAAGGGCGCGUAGGCGGCCUGCUAAGUCGGACGUGAAAUCCCUCGGCUCAACCGGGGAACUGCGUCCGAUACUGGCGAGGCUUGAAUCCGGGAGAGGGAUGUGGAAUUCCAGGUGUAGCGGUGAAAUUCGUAGAUAUCAGGAGGAACACCGGUGGCGAAGGCGGCGACCUGGACCGGUACUGACGCUGAGACGCGAAAGCGUGGGGAGCAAACAGG